ACCAUGGGCAUUCUCAGGAUCUCUUUUAUUGUCAACAACAUCAGGCACCCAGAUUCUGUUAACAAGCAUGAGGUCCACAGCCAAGGUUCUCUUGAAAUCUGUAAAACCUGCUGAGGUGAAGGUCAAUCUCUGCAAUGCAUGAACUCUGAA